UACAGAGAGUGCAAACGUUGUUCGGAAUCACUGGGCUUAAAGCGCACGUAGGCGGCACUGUAAGUCUCGGGUGAAAUCCCACGGCUCACCCGUGGAACUGCCCGGCAGACUGUGGUGCUCGAGUGUGGUAGGGGAGAGCGGAACUCCUGGUGGAGCGGUGAAAUGCGUAGAUAUCAGGAGGAACACCGGUGGCGAAGGCGGCUCUCUGGUCCACAACUGACGCUGAGGUGCGAAAGCUAGGGGAGCAAACGGG
rnacentral:rRNA from 1 species